rnacentral:rRNA from 1 species
AACCCGACUCCAUGAAGCUGGAUUCGCUAGUAAUCGCGCAUCAGCCAUGGCGCGGUGAAUACGUUCCCGGGCCUUGUACACACCGCCCGUCACACCAUGAGAGUCUGUAACACCCAAAGCCGGUGGGAUAACCUUUAUAGGAGUCAGCCGUCUAAGGUAGGACAGAUGAUUAGGGUGAAGUCGUAACAAGGUAGC